CGGCGGCCGUAACUAUAACGGUCCUAAGGUAGCGAAAUUCCUUGUCGGGUAAGUUCCGACCCGCACGAAAGGCGUAACGAUCUGGGAACUGUCUCAACAAUAGACUCGGUGAAAUUGUAGUACCGGUAAAGAUGCCGGUUACCCGCAGCAGGACGGAAAGACCCCAUGGAGCUUUACUGUAGCUUGAUAUUGAGAUUCGGCGUUGCAUGUACAGGAUAGGUGGGAGACUGCGAGACUAGUACGCCAGUAUUAGAGGAGUCACCGUUGGGAUACCACCCUUGUAACGUUGGAUUUCUAACAUUGCGCCGUGAUCCGGCGUGUGGACAGUGUCAGGUGGGCAGUUUGACUGGGGCGGUCGCCUCCUAAAGAGUAACGGAGGCGCCCAAAGGUUCCCUCAGUGCGGUCGGAAAUCGCGCGAAGAGUGUAAAGGCAGAAGGGAGCUUGACUGCGAGACAGACAAGUCGAGCAGGGACGAAAGUCGGGCUUAGUGAUCCGGUGGUUCCGCGUGGAAGGGCCAUCGCUCAACGGAUAAAAGCUACCCUGGGGAUAACAGGCUGAUACCGCCCAAGAGUUCACAUCGACGGCGGUGUUUGGCACCUCGAUGUCGGCUCGUCUCAUCCUGGGGCUGAAGUAGGUCCCAAGGGUUGGGCUGUUCGCCCAUUAAAGAGGUACGCGAGCUGGGUUCAGAACGUCGUGAGACAGUUCGGUCCCUAUCCGCUGUGGGCGUUGGAGAUUUGAGUGGAGCUGUUCCUAGUACGAGAGGACCGGGAUGGACGUAGCUCUGGUGCACCAGUUGUUCUGCCAAGGGCAUCGCUGGGUAGCUACCUACGGACGGGAUAAGCGCUGAAAGCAUCUAAGUGCGAAGCCCCCCACGAGAAAAGAUUUCCUCCAGAAAUGGUAAGACCCGUGAGAGACUAUCACGUUGAUAGGUCGGAGGUGUAAGUGUGGUGACACAUUUAGCUGACCGAUACUAAUAGGUCGAAAACUUGACCAA
rnacentral:rRNA from 1 species